GUGAUCAGGAAGAGAAAAAUGCACAAACCGUGGUAGCCUAACAAUUGGAUCAUGAUUGUCCAAAAAAUACAAAUAAGGCCACUACACAACGUACUUUUAAUGACCAAGGUUGGAUAGCUUAGGAAAUGACUUGGAAUGACUUAAAAUAAUUUUUGUUGCUAUUGAAGUCCGGCCACCAAGCUAGCAUGACUAGCGAAGCUUCUGACC
rnacentral:lncRNA from 1 species